UCGAGGAUCUUCGGCAAUGGGCGCAAGCCUGACCGAGCGACGCCGCGUGUGCGACGAAGGCCUUCGGGUUGUAAAGCACUGUCGAGGGGGAGAAAUGCCCGAAAGGGCUUGAUCUAUCCCUGGAGGAAGCACGGGCUAAGUUCGUGCCAGCAGCCGCGGUAAGACGAACCGUGCGAACGUUGUUCGGAAUCACUGGGCUUAAAGGGCGCGUAGGCGGGCUGCCAAGUCUGGGGUGAAAUCCCACGGCUCAACCGUGGAACUGCCUCGGAUACUGGCGGCCUCGAGGGAGGUAGGGGCAUGCGGAACUAUGCGUGGAGCGGUGAAAUGCGUUGAUAUGCAUAGGAACUCCGGUGGCGAAGGCGGCGUGCUGGACCUCUUCUGACGCUGAGGCGCGAAAGCCAGGGGAGCGAACGGGAUUAGAUACCCCGGUAGUCCUGGCCCUAAACGUUGAGAACUAGGUAGUGGACUAGACAUGGGUUCACUGCCGAAGCAAAAGUG
rnacentral:rRNA from 1 species